CAGAGAAGUUUGAGAACCUUAAGUAUUAAUCUAUGAUUUGAACACGAAAAGACUUGUCUCUCAAACAAAACAAGAAAAUAUUUUCCUAUUUUGAAAAUUUUUGAGUGCUAAUCAUGGCGAUCUCUCACGUUCAUCUUUUUCUUCUCCUCAUCCUAUCACUCUUCUUAUUACCUACUUUGCGGGCCAUCGAUUAUUCUGACUGCGGUGAUGUAAGUUCUCCUGUUGAAGUCACUAGUGUGGAGGAGAUACUUAAGGAUAAGGACAAGGCAAGCUUUAAAAUAUCCGGUUCAACAAGUAAAAAUAUCACUGGAGGAGAUAUUUACGUGGAUGUUAAAGAGGCCUGAUUCGUUACUCUACUAGCAACUACGACUUAUGUGCAUGUAUGGCAUGCCCUGUUGCACCUGGUGCCUUCGUGCUUCCCCUAGACAAUCUUUUUCGUUCAUAUCCAAUGGUGACAUUCAAGGUUCAAUUAAAUAUUUUUGACGACUCUAAAGAUGUGAAUGAAAUAAUGUGCCUCACUUUCAGGUACAAGACUAAACGUUCCUUCGCGGUCUCUGGUUAAUCAAGUUGCCGGAUGAAAAAAUGUUCUCAAGUAUGAUCUCUUUAUAUUGUAUGAUAAACUUGCAUUAUGUAUGUUUUUUUCUUCUUCCCUUUUGUGUGGUAACCAAGAAACAAAAUAAGUGUUUGUAUAUAGUUCUUUAAUUUCGUUUGAUUUC
rnacentral:sRNA from 1 species